rnacentral:rRNA from 1 species
GACAGAGGUGGCGAGCGUUGUUCGGAAUUACUGGGCUUAAAGGGCGCGUAGGUGGUGAUAUAAGUCUGAGGUGGAAUUCUGCGGCUUAACCGUAGGACUGCCUUGGAAACUGUAUUACUUGAGUCGGACAGGGGAAGGCGGAAUUCCUGGUGUAGCGGUGAAAUGCGUAGAUAUCAGGAGGAAGGCCUGUGGCGAAGGCGGCCUUCUGGGGCUUGACUGACACUGAGGCGCGAAAGCGUGGGGAGCAAACAGGAUUAGAUACCCCCGUAGUCC